rnacentral:snRNA from 1 species
UGCUCUCUUUGGCAGCAAUAUACUAAAAUUGGACUGAUACAGAGAAGAUUAGCAUGGCCCUUCACAAAGAUGAUAUGCAAAUUUGUGAAGCAUUCCAUAUUUAA